CUGUGGGUCAUGACCAGCGGGUCUCUGGUUUGGGACCAGAGGGUCGGGAGUUCGAAUCUCUCCACUCCGACCA
rnacentral:tRNA from 1 species